GAGCACCUCUUUCUUCCUUUCUAGUUUACGGACAAACGGGAGUUUUGUGAGGUAAGAAGACGUUAUUACCCUUCAUAUAAUUUCCCCCCAAAACUAUGACGCUCACUCCUCCGACUGCUUCCGCGACUGAGGUAACGACGGCGCCAAACACCCUGACGACGCAAGCGGGUAACUGUAUUCGGAUACAAUUGCGAAACCUCUUCCUGUCAGCACGUCCGGUGGACGGCGAUCUCUUCAAGUGCCCUCAAGGAGCAUGACAAUCCGAUUCUCAUCAUUGAUACUAGACAUUCUUCCACAUAUCUCGGUUAGAAAUUACAGAUGGUUUGGCGAAACAAGCAAUUCACGGGUAUGGACCUGGCAUAAUGGUGUGAAACUCAUUUGGGUUCCAAUGGCCCUACUUUCCAAUGCACCUUUCUCCAUUCAGUACAACGUCUCUUUCUUCAACUCCUUGGCUGUACCUCCAACUCAACUUAACUUCCUUCGUUUCUUUUGCCAUCUCCCAAGUCCCUUCCCUUGAUACUCUUCUUUGGGGAAGUUUCUAGUAUUGUAUUAGUGUGGAGUCUUCAAUUUUACAUAUUAUUUAUAAGAAGCAUUCAAUAAUUGUAUGAAACUUAUGAAAUAAAAUAAUAUUUCAUAAAAUAGUAAAUAGUGAAAUGAAGUGUUUAGGGGAGAGAGUGUACUUCACAGUACUAGAAUUUUCUCCAAUUCUCUUUC